rnacentral:rRNA from 1 species
UAUAAUGCAGUCGACGAACUCUGGUAUUGAUUGGUGCUUGCAUCAUGAUUUACAUUUGAGUGAGUGGCGAACUGGUGAGUAACACGUGGGAAACCUGCCCAGAAGCGGGGGAUAACACCUGGAAACAGAUGCUAAUACCGCAUAACAACUUGGACCGCAUGGUCCGAGUUUGAAAGAUGGCUUCGGCUAUCACUUUUGGAUGGUCCCGCGGCGUAUUAGCUAGAUGGUGGGGUAACGGCUCACCAUGGCAAUGAUACGUAGCCGACCUGAGAGGGUAAUCGGCCACAUUGGGACUGAGACACGGCCCAAACUCCUACGGGAGGCAGCAGUAGGGAAUCUUCCACAAUGGACGAAAGUCUGAUGGAGCAACGCCGCGUGAGUGAAGAAGGGUUUCGGCUCGUAAAACUCUGUUGUUAAAGAAGAACAUAUCUGAGAGUAACUGUUCAGGUAUUGACGGUAUUUAACCAGAAAGCCACGGCUAACUACGUGCCAGCAGCCGCGGUAAUACGUAGGUGGCAAGCGUUGUCCGGAUUUAUUGGGCGUAAAGCGAGCGCAGGCGGUUUUUUAAGUCUGAUGUGAAAGCCUUCGGCUCAACCGAAGAAGUGCAUCGGAAACUGGGAAACUUGAGUGCAGAAGAGGACAGUGGAACUCCAUGUGUAGCGGUGAAAUGCGUAGAUAUAUGGAAGAACACCAGUGGCGAAGGCGGCUGUCUGGUCUGUAACUGACGCUGAGGCUCGAAAGUAUGGGUAGCAAACAGGAUUAGAUACCCUGGUAGUCCAUACCGU